rnacentral:lncRNA from 1 species
GAGAACGACAACUUGCGUUCUGUUUUGGCUCGCGCUCCGGAGGAGGCGAUUGAGAAGUAUAAGGCCUCAGCUGAGUAUGACAGAGAUCUCGAGAUAUCUGUGGAGCAGUUUAAGACAUCGUCUGAUUAUGCUAUGACCUUGAAUUCAUAUGGAGGGAAGGCGAUGACAGCGUCUAUCAAACUUUCCAAGGAGUGGAUUAUGGUCGAGCAUCCUUCUAUAGACCUCUCUAGUUUAGAUAGGUUUCUUGCUUAGCACAAGGGAAAAGAGAGUGGAG